AACGUAGGAGACAAACGUUAUCCGGAGUUACUGGGCGUAAAGGGCGUGUAGGUGGUUUCGUAAGUCUGGCGUGAAAUUUUUCGGCUUAACCGGGAAAGGUCGUCGGAUACUGCGGAGCUAGAGGACGGUAGAGGCGUGUGGAAUUCCGGGUGUAGUGGUGAAAUGCGUAGAGAUCCGGAGGAACACCAGUGGCGAAGGCGACACGCUGGGCCGUACCUGACACUGAUGCGCGACAGCAUGGGAGCAAACAGG
rnacentral:rRNA from 1 species